GCGACCCCCGACCCUGCGACCUCUGACUCGAUCACCCGUGACCCCGUAAUACCCCACCCUGCGAGCCCCGACCCCAAGACCCUUGACCUCUCUAACCGUGAACCACUCGUGACUCCGAGUCUCCCGACCCCGCCACCCACGAUGCCGCAACACCCCACCACUCGACCUCUGACCCUGCCCACGCGCUGUCCCUUGGCGCCCCCGCCUGCGCCCGACCAGCACGAGGCCGGAGGAGGACGACGACGACAACAGGACCUAGAGAGGAUUCAGUGACUUAUGAUGAUGUGCAUGUGAACUUCACUAAAGAAGAGUGGGAUUUGCUGGAUCCUUCCCAGAUGAAUCUCUACAAAGACGUGAUGCUGGAGACCUACUGGAACCUCAUUGCUAUAGGCUACAAUUGGGAAGAUCAUCAUAUUGAAGAACAAUGUCAAAGUUCUAAAAGUCAUGAAAGGUAAUUUUCUUUUUUGGGGGGGGUGGGGGGUUGUUUUUGGUUUGGUUUUUGGUUUUUGGUUUUUUGAGACAGGGUUUCUCUGUGUAGCCCUGGCUGUCCUGGAACUUACUUUGUACACUAGGCUGGCCUCAAACUCAGAAAUCCGCCUGUCUCUGCCUCCCAAGUGCUGGGAUUAAAGGCAUGUGCCACCACCGCUCGGCAUGAAAGGUAAUUUUCAUGUGCAAGCUGAUACAACUAUGCCUCUGAGGAAAUUUUAAUAUGUUCUGGAAGCACUAAGGAAAAGCAAGAGUGUCAAAUAUCAGUCCUUUAAGUAUAGCUAUAAUUAUAAUAUUCUCACAAAACCAUGUACCUCAAUGUCAGUUAUCUAAUUUUUGUUUGCAAGGUAUUCCUCUAAGAAAGAAGACAAGGAAAUAUGCCUUAAGAGAUACCUUUAUUUGAUAUGUAGCUCCAUUAGAGCUAUGCUGUAGAACUACUAAUCUGUAUAGUAUCAUAAUAUUUAGAUGCUGCACAUUGAAUAGUGAUAAAUAUAUAUCCAAAACCUUCUGAUAAGCAAAUAGUUCAUUGUAAAGUUGGUGAUACUCAUAUUCUUGUAGUGACAUUGCUAAGUUUAUUGGUCAGCUUAUGAGUGUCAGGAAUGUUUUCAUGAAGAAACCUUAAUCCAUAUACCACAUGUCUACAAGAAACAAAAAGUCAUAUGGUGUGAAUGCAAUGUGGAAACCUUUCAUUUAUUCUUCUUCUCUUAAUGGAUGUAUCAAGUGUCAGAAAUGAUAAAACCAUGUGAGCAUAAGGCUAUUGAAAGGACCAAUGUAACUGUUGUUCCAUUUUUAUUCAGAUACAUGAAAUACAUUAUAUAGAAAUCUCAUAUAAAAAAAAGGAUGUUAUAAAAUGAUUUAUCAGGGUAUAAUGAGUAUGGUAAAACUUUCAUAUGUGCCGAAUAUCAUUGCAGGAAUGUAAGAAGUCAUAGUGGAGAGAAACCCUAUGAAUGUAAUAAGUGUGGUAAAGCCUUUGCAAGACCCAUUUAUCUCCAAAAUCAUAAAA
rnacentral:lncRNA from 1 species